rnacentral:lncRNA from 1 species
AUCACCCAUACCUUGAAGAACAAAUUGUGUGUGUUUAGUUUUUUAAAGAAUAUCUACUUCAGCCACUUGUCAUUGCCAAGAAGGGCAGCAAAUUUGGAAUGCUUUUCUCUGUUUUAAAUUUGAAAAGUACAGUUCAUUUCUAGGUUUUCAGUUGCCUUUAGGUGCUUGACAAGAUAACCAUCUGUCCUCUGUGUCCCCUGUAGGCAUUCUUUUAUUGCAUUGCAAAGUAUGAUAAUGAUACUCUUUUAUGCAUAAGCUGUAAUAUAUUAUAAUACACUGGAUGGAGAAAAAUAAGAAAAUGCUAUUUAUAUCACAGAACUUUUUAAUUUCAUCUGUAGAUUGAAAUUCAUAAAAUGUAGUUUUUUCAUGUUGAUUUAUAUAAAUAGAUUGGUAUAAAUAAGAGUUUGAGGCGAGGUGCUGUGUUACACACCUGUAAUAUCAGCUACUUAGGAGCUGGGGUGGGAAGAUCACAAGUUCAAGACCAGCCUCAUAACUUAGGCCCUAAGCUAUUUAGCAAGACCCCAUCUCAGAAUAAAAUAAACAAAAGCUUUGGAUGUGUCACAGUGGUAGAGCACCCCUGGGUUCAAUCCCCAGUAAGGGGGGGGGGAACGGGACUUUGAAACAGGGUGUGGCAGUGCAUGCCUAUAGUCUCAGCUACUCAGGAGGCUGGGGAGGAAGAAUUGUUUGAGCCUCAUGGGUUUCAGACCAGCUGGGGCAAUGUAGCAAGACCCAGUCUCAAAAAAAAUUUAUUUUUUUCCCACAUCCAUAUAUGAAUCAUUUUUUCCAUUCUCUGGGAUGUGGAAUCCACUUUGGGAAACUCCUUAUUAAGAAAAAAAAUGAGUGUAAUGAAAUGAAUUAAGAGGCCAUUGUGGUAGUUCUCAUAGUCUCAUGGGAAAUGGUGAUAGCUAUGAUGAUAGUGAGGAUUGUGAGAAGUGGACAAAUGUAAGAGAGAUUUAGGCCAUAGAAUCUGUGGGUGCUAGUGAGUAGUAAUAGACUGG